CUGUACCGCCUGUACGCCUCGAUCUCGAUCACAACGAAUCGCGUUGGGGUGUCGUAAUUGUAUAGUAUUCACCAGGGACGUGUCUAGCGAACAUGCAAGGUGUGCACAGCACAUCCGGGCCGCUGUCACACGCUGAACGGGUGGAGAGGGAGGCACAUACACUAAAAAAAGUCAUGUAUAUGUGGUCAUAUAUUCACUCUACGCAUGCGUGAUCAUGUGGAAAACGUCGAGUAGUAGGAAAGGAACAGAAAUGACAAGAGGAGGAGAGUAAUUAAAGAGUUGAAGUAAUAUGGACAAUAUGAAGAUUCGACUAUACAUACCGAAUUUGUUUCUUUCUUUCCUAUUCUGUAUUCUAAAACAUUCUUAGACUUAAGCAACUUUUCUAUUCUUGAAUUUUGGAAAACUUCUUCGCUUAAUCUUCAACUAUGUGAUUCUUCAUGCUA